rnacentral:lncRNA from 1 species
CUCGCCUUUUAAAUUAACAGGCUUCCACUACUCUCACUGUCUGACAUACACACAGAGAACGCAAUGGGAAAGCUCCUCAAAGCGUCGUACCACCUCGUUAUGAGCAACUUCCUCGCCAUCGCCGCGGUGGCGUUUGCCACCGCCGUAGUCCAGAGAGGAUGGCCGUUCAGCAUCGACGGUCUCGCCGGCUGGCUACACGCCCAGCGGCCCGUCCACCUCAUCACGGCGGCGAUCCUGAUGGCUGCCGUGGCAAAGCUCCGGCGCGCCCGCCGGCAACGGGACGUGUACAUCGUGGAGUACGGCUGCUUCCGGCCGAGGCCGUGCUUCCGGGCGCCGUUCGCGACGUGCCUGGAGCACGCGCGCCUCCUGCCGUACCUUGUGGCCGACAAGGAGAGCCUGAACUUCGCGAUCCGGCUGCUCGAGCGCUCGGGGCUCGGCGAGGAGACGUGCGUGCCCUACUCGUACCACUACAUGCCCCCGGACCGCAGCCUCGACGCCGCCCGGGAGGAGACCGAGCUGGUCAUCUUCUCGGCCAUCGACGACGUGCUCGCCAAGACCGCCGUGAAGCCCGAGGAGAUCGACGUGCUCAUCGUCAACUGCAGCAUCUUCACGCCGACGCCGGUAUUCGCCGACAUGGUCGUCAACAGGUACAAGCUCCGCCCCGGCGUGCAGACCCUGAACCUGUCCGGGAUGGGCUGCGGCGCGGGGCUCAUCUCCGUCGGCCUCGCCAAGAACCUCCUGCAGGUGGCGGCGCCGGGCACGCACGUCCUGACCGUGUCCACGGAGAUCCUCUCGUCGCAGUACUACGUCGGCAGCGAACGCGCGAUGCUGCUGCCCAACUGCCUCUUCCGCAUGGGCGCCGCCGCCACGAUCCUGUCCAACUCCCCGGAGCGCGCGCGGUUCAAGCUCGGCCGCAUCGUCCGCACCAUGACCGCCGCGCGGGACGCCGACUACCGCUGCAUCUUCCAGGAGGAGGACGACAAAGGCAUGCGGGGCGUGCGCCUCUCCAAGGACCUCACCACCACCGCCGGCGGCGCGCUCAAGAGGAACAUCGUGGCGUUCGGGCCCCUCGUCCUGCCGAUCUCGGAGCAGCUCCUGGUGGCGCUGUCCCUCCUGAAGCGGAAGCUCCUGAGCCGGCUCGGCAGCAAGGUGAGGCUGUACCGCCCGGACUUCCGGACGGCGUUCGAGCACUUCUGCAUCCACGCCGGCGGUCGCGCGGUGAUCGACGAGGUGCAGCGCGGCCUCGGCCUGUCCGACGAGGACGUGGAGGCGUCGCGGAUGACGCUGCACCGGUUCGGGAACACGUCGAGCAGCCUGGUGAUGUACGAGCUGGCGUACACCGAGGCCAAGGGCCGGAUGAGGAAGGGCGACCGGGUGUGGAUGAUCUCCUUCGGCGCCGGCUUCGAGUGCAGCUGCGUGGCGUUGGAGUGCGUCAGGACGGCGGCGGCCGCCGACGGGCCGUGGGUGGACUGCAUCCACCGCUACCCGGUGCAGCUCCCCGACGUCGCCAAGGACAUCUGAUCAAACUACUGUGUGCAACGUGCACACGCUGCGCAGAAUUAUCUUCAACGAGAGAUUUCUGCGAAGGUUUCCGUGGACUUC